GGCUCUGUGGCGCAAUGGAUAGCGCAUUGGACUCCUAUUAUGAAUGAAGUGGGUCAAUGGUUGUGGGUUCGAGUCCCACCAGAGUCG